AACCGGGACACUACAAGAAUGAUUAUCCUCAAGCCAAAAAGAGAACAUCAAAGAAAAAGGCGCUCAAGGCAACGUGGGAUGAUUCAAGCGCGUCCAAAGAAGAGGAGUCCAACACCGAGUAAGUUGCUCAUUACGCCCUAAUGGCCAUCGGAGAAGAGGUAACGGAUUUAAUUAAUGCAGAUUUACCUUAUCAUGAAUUAUCAAAUGCUUUCCAUGAGUUAUUUGAUGAAUGUAAGACAAUUAGUAGAAAAUACAAAUUGCUAAAAAAGGAGCAUGAUAGUCUCACUUGUGAU
rnacentral:lncRNA from 1 species